AGAGCGAAGAGGCGCGAGCGGGCGAACUGCGGACACAAGCGGACCGGAAGAGGACCGAGCUGGAGGAAUACGCCGCGAGGACCAUUGAGGACCUGAGGACUAAGGGGAUCAAGAGCACGUCGCCGUCAAGCGGCACGAGCCCCGAUUGUCUGCUGCAGCUGCUGCAGCAGUGCGAGCCCGCGGCCGCGCGCGCCAUCCAGACCACCGUCGACCGCCACAAAAAAGAGCUAGAAGAGUUAGAAGAGGAGCUGGAGUGCCGCGCGUCAUCAGUAGCAUCGCACCGAGUCAAGGUGGAGCGACUCCAAGCUGAACUGCGCCUGCU